UACGUAGGGUGCGAGCGUUGUCCGGAAUUAUUGGGCGUAAAGAGCUCGUAGGCGGUUUGUCACGUCUGCUGUGAAAUCCCGAGGCUCAACCUCGGGCCUGCAGUGGGUACGGGCAGACUGGAGUGCGGUAGGGGAGAAUGGAAUUCCUGGUGUAGCGGUGAAAUGCGCAGAUAUCAGGAAGAACACCAAUGGCGAAGGCAGCUCUCUGGGACGGUACUGACGCCGAGACGCGAAAGCGUGGGGAGCGAACAGG
rnacentral:rRNA from 1 species